rnacentral:rRNA from 1 species
UACGGGGGGGGCAAGCGUUGUUCGGAAUUACUGGGCGUAAAGGGCUCGUAGGCGGCCAACUAAGUCGGAUGUGAAAUCCCCAGGCUUAACCUGGGAAUUGCAUCCGAUACUGGAUGGCUUGAAUUCGGGAGAGGGAUGCAGAAUUCCAGGUGUAGCGGUGAAAUGCGUAGAUAUCUGGAGGAAUACCGGUGGCGAAGGCGGCAUCCUGGACCGACAUUGACGCUGAGGAGCGAAAGCUAGGGGAGCAAACGGG